CCUACGGGAGGCAGCAGUGGGGAAUAUUGGGCAAUGGGCGCAAGCCUGACCCAGCAACGCCGCGUGAAGGAAGAAGGCUUUCGGGUUGUAAACCUCUUUUAUGAGGGACGAAAGAAAUGACGGUACCUGAUGAAUAAGCCACGGCUAACUACGUGCCAGCAGCCGCGGUAAUACGUAGGUGGCAAGCGUUAUCCGGAUUUACUGGGUGUAAAGGGCGUGUAGGCGGGAAUGCAAGUCAGAUGUGAAAAUUAUGGGCUCAACCCAUAGCCUGCAUUUGAAACUGUAGUUCUUGAGUGAUGGAGAGGCAGGCGGAAUUCCGGGUGUAGCGGUGAAAUGCGUAGAUAUACGGAGGAACACCAGUGGCGAAGGCGGCCUGCUGGACAUUAACUGACGCUGAGGCACGAAGGCCAGGGGAGCGAAAGGGAUUAGAUACCCGUGUAGUC
rnacentral:rRNA from 1 species